rnacentral:rRNA from 2 species
ACCUAUGACGUUAGCGGCGGACGGGUGAGUAACACGUGGGCAACCUGCCUGUAAGACUGGGAUAACUUCGGGAAACCGAAGCUAAUACCGGAUAGGAUCUUCUCCUUCAUGGGAGAUGAUUGAAAGAUGGUUUCGGCUAUCACUUACAGAUGGGCCCGCGGUGCAUUAGCUAGUUGGUGAGGUAACGGCUCACCAAGGCAACGAUGCAUAGCCGACCUGAGAGGGUGAUCGGCCACACUGGGACUGAGACACGGCCCAGACUCCUACGGGAGGCAGCAGUAGGGAAUCUUCCGCAAUGGACGAAAGUCUGACGGAGCAACGCCGCGUGAGUGAUGAAGGCUUUCGGGUCGUAAAACUCUGUUGUUAGGGAAGAACAAGUACGAGAGUAACUGCUCGUACCUUGACGGUACCUAACCAGAAAGCCACGGCUAACUACGUGCCAGCAGCCGCGGUAAUACGUAGGUGGCAAGCGUUAUCCGGAAUUAUUGGGCGUAAAGCGCGCGCAGGCGGUUUCUUAAGUCUGAUGUGAAAGCCCACGGCUCAACCGUGGAGGGUCAUUGGAAACUGGGGAACUUGAGUGCAGAAGAGAAAAGCGGAAUUCCACGUGUAGCGGUGAAAUGCGUAGAGAUGUGGAGGAACACCAGUGGCGAAGGCGGCUUUUUGGUCUGUAACUGACGCUGAGGCGCGAAAGCGUGGGGAGCAAACAGGAUUAGAUACCCUGGUAGUCCACGCCGUAAACGAUGAGUGCUAAGUGUUAGAGGGUUUCCGCCCUUUAGUGCUGCAGCUAACGCAUUAAGCACUCCGCCCGGGGAGUACGGUCGCAAGACUGAAACUCAAAGGAAUUGACGGGGGCCCGCACAAGCGGUGGGAGCAUGUGGUUUAUUUCGAAGCAACGCGAAGAACCUUACCAGGUCUUGACAUCCUCUGACAACUCUAGAGAUAGAGCGUUCCCUUCGGGGAACAGAGUGACAGGUGGUGCAUGUUGUCGUCAGCUCCGUGCGUGAGAUGUUGGUUAAGUCCCGCAACGAGCCCAACCCUGGAUCUAGCUGCCCAGCCAUUUAGUGGGCACCUUCUUAGGUGUACUGCCGGGUGGACAUACCGG